rnacentral:lncRNA from 1 species
AUCAAAAUUUUCACUUCCUGUUAACUGCUAUAAAAAGUUAAUAAAAUUAAUUGAAAGAUAUAAAAAUACUACAAAAUCAAAGAAGCAUUUCAUUUUUCAAACAUCUAGUCGUAUUAAGCUUUGUAAUAAAUAGAACAUCAUGGCUGUUCUACAAAAAGUUACUAGUAACACAAAUCCCUUCAAAAGGCCUCAUGUAAAUGUAUGCAUUUUAAUCAUAACUAUUUAAAUAUAUAAUGAUACACCUGCCAACUUUCACCAAUUUAUGGGGAAUUUCUCCCAUGGGAGGGAUUGACCUGAAUUUUGAAAAUCUAUAUUUUCAUUUAAACUGAACACCUCAAAACAGGCAUUCAAAUGAUUUAAAUGGGUAUGAAAUGUAAGCAUACACGUCCUCAAUUAAACAAUAUGGAAGUAGAUUAAAAACACGAAUGAUGAUGAUGGAAGUUUUUAACGACCUUGACUGGCUAAAAAUACCCUUGCAUACUAAUAAAAAUUGAAGAGGAGAAUUAUAGUUCCCCUUGUGCUUCAAAUCCCUCAUGAAGAUUUUGAAAGUUGGCAGGUAUGUACAUUGGUUUUUGAUUCAUUCAACAAAUUAUAAAUGUAACAAGCAACAAAUAUCUACGACUACUUUUAGUACAUACACUGUAUAUGUAUAAUGUCAUUGAAAAACAGAUGAUACAUUGAUAACUGGCCCAUGGUGAGAAGAACUCAGAAAACAGUCCAAUCAUGUCCAUACAAAUUUGAGAAGACGGCUUAUCAAAAUGCAUAUAUAUAGUCAAACCUGCUAUAAAGGUCAUCUCUAUCAAGGUCAUCCUCUUUAUUUCCUCAUUGUAGUAAUACAAAUACAUUUGAACCUCAAUUCAAAGGUCAACCUAUCUUAUGUGGUCAGUUUUCAAUGGCUCCAAAGGUUGAAUGUUAUAUACAGGUUUGACUGUAUUUUAAAAACAAACAAAGAAAUAGAAAAAAGUUUAUUAUUUUUUUCCUCAAACAGUUUCAGCAAAUGCAUGUUGAAAACCAAUUUUUAUUUUUAUUUUAGCUGAAUGAUAGCAAGAUCUACCACUACAUGUAUGUUAAUGGUUAGUUUUCUUUGAAUAAAACUGAAUCAGGACACAAAUUCACACCCUUUUUCUAAAACUAAAUUUACAUAUAUCAAGAGCUGUUAUGGAUACCCUAAUAAUCAUUUGAGGCCAGAUAGAGAAAAAUAUGACAUGAGUAACGCCUAUAAUAUGGUAAAUUUUCUAACAUUUUCAUUUAAGUUUAUUUACUUCACUAGUUGUAGAUAAAAAAAAACAAAGCUACUUUAACACUUACUGAUGAACAUAUGAAAAAAAGACUUGCCAAUUUAUC